rnacentral:rRNA from 1 species
GACGAACGCUGGCGGCGUGCUUAACACAUGCAAGUCGAACGGAAAGGCCCUGCUUUUGUGGGGUGCUCGAGUGGCGAACGGGUGAGUAACACGUGAGUAACCUGCCCUUGACUUUGGGAUAACUUCAGGAAACUGGGGCUAAUACCGGAUAGGAGCUCCUGCUGCAUGGUGGGGGUUGGAAAGUUUCGGCGGUUGGGGAUGGACUCGCGGCUUAUCAGCUUGUUGGUGGGGUAGUGGCUUACCAAGGCUUUGACGGGUAGCCGGCCUGAGAGGGUGACCGGCCACAUUGGGACUGAGAGACGGCCCAGACUCCUACGGGAGGCAGCAGUGGGGAAUAUUGCACAAUGGGCGGAAGACUGAUGCAGCAACGCCGCGUGCGGGAUGACGGCCUUCGGGUUGUAAACCGCUUUCGCCUGUGACGAAGCGUGAGUGACGGUAAUGGGUAAAGAAGCACCGGCUAACUACG